UGUAAGAUAGUCCAAUUUCUGCCUAUGACUUUCAGGAGCAAUUACAUUAGAACUAUUUAAUAGAAAAAGAAAAACUAUUAUAUGCCUGUGCAUACUUCUGCAUCAGUGACUUUUACUACUAUGAACACAUGUGGCUAUGCAUUAACGUAGACAUUAUUAGAAUAUAUAACAAUGAGAAGUCAUCUUUGCUCAUAGUUUUAAAUUGGUAAAAACAGUUUAUUAAUGAUCAUCAACAUAAAAUAUAAUUUAUCCCAUGAAAUGUACUCAAUUCAAAAAGAAAAAGAUAAACUUUCAGAAGUUUUCCAAUCAAAAGUUGAACUACUCUGGCUGUCACAUUUAUGCAGGUAAUUUUAGUAUUAUGUCUAUUGUGUGUAUUUUAAGAAGGCAGUUUCAACAUAAAACGUUAUACUUGUGACAUAAGAAGUGAUUUUGGAGAAUAUGCCAUAGAACUGCCAAAAGCCAACAUGAGAGAAAUAACACACCACUAGAGAGAACAUUUUAUUUAAAAGGAUUCAUUAUUGCUUUUCUCCCUGUGGCUAAAUGCUGUUCAGGAAGAUCUGGGAAUGUUUACACUAUUGCUAGAGAGGAUCAGUGUUGCUUCUUCUGCUAGUUAAACCCAAAAUCUAGAAUGUCUGCCUGUGUGACUAAACUUCUGAAGGCGGAUCAAAAGAAGUUAAAUUGAUGACAAGUUUCAAGCCCGGGAGCUGCUCUAUAAUGAUGUGUGGGGAAAUGAAUCAGGGACCCUGAGUUAAGCUCAGACUUGCAAGAGGCAGAGGUAAAUAGAGAAAAAAAAGUGUUGGAGUUUUCAAGUUGUGUAAAUCAGGUACAGCUAUGAAUUCCAGUGAUAUCAAAACAAAACAUGCAUCUUAUGAAUUGGC
rnacentral:lncRNA from 1 species